rnacentral:rRNA from 1 species
GUGGGGAAUAUUGGACAAUGGGCGAAAGCCUGAUCCAGCCAUGCCGCGUGUGUGAAGAAGGUCUUCGGAUUGUAAAGCACUUUAAGUUGAGAGGAAGGGCAGUAAGUUAAUACCUUGCUGUUUUGACGUUACCAACAGAAUAAGCACCGGCUAACUUCGUGCCAGCAGCCGCGGUAAUACGAAGGGUGCAAGCGUUAAUCGGAAUUACUGGGCGUAAAGCGCGCGUAGGUGGUUCAGCAAGUUGAAGGUGAAAUCCCCGGGCUCAAACUGGGCACUGCCUCCAAAACUACUGAGCUAGAGUACGGUAGAGGGUAGUGGAAUUUCCUGUGUAGCGGUGAAAUGCGUAGAUAUAGGAAGGAACAACAGUGGCGAAGGCGACUACCUGGACUGAUACUGACACUGAGGUGCGAAAGCGUGGGGAGCAAACAGGAUUAGAUACCCUUGUAGUCC